AUUAUUUUAGUAUAAAAAGUAUUUUUGAUUUCCAAUCAAAAGGUCUAGUUUGAGAUAAUA
rnacentral:tRNA from 1 species